ACUUGAGUUACAAACGCCACCACAGCGGUCUUAACAUCUGGCUUCCAAGGGGUCAAACAAUGCAGCCCAAAGUAUGAAAGAACUCUGAACAGUGCAGGGAGAGUAGGAGACCCAGAGCCCCUGAAGCCUCCUCCAUCCCAAGCAGAAAACCAGAUGCUGCCAUGGAACCAACACCCAAGCACCAGGCCCAGAACAAGAAGCAGCAUGACCCAAGGGCUGGGCAGGGGCCAAGGCCAAGUGAGGGGACAAUAGGGAGCGGACCAGCAUCCAGCAUCCCUCGAGGAUGGGACCCUGAGGAACUGACGGGUUCCUGGUUGGGAGGUGACCAAGGAAGAGGAGUCCAGAGUGCAGACCUCUGAGGCCAGAGAGAGAGAGCUCCUUGAAGACUGAAGAUUCAGCUGUUUCCUGUAAAAUGUCACUCUUUUGUUCAUUUCCUCCUUGGAGACACAGCAAUCAAUUCUGCUUUACUUGACUUAAGGAUGAUAAUGAUCACUCGUGAAAUGAUCCUGGAGUACAAAAAGUUGUUAAAAAAGAGAUAACAGGCCCACAAUGGAGUCACUUGUGCUGAGCCCACAUCACCAAACUGAGACGUAAUACCUAACCUCAUGGCAGUUUCACCCUCUCCCAGGAAUGUGACCUUAACUAGCCAUUCUGGAAUUAACCUGGUCAGCACUAGUGUUACCACACCAAAAUGGGGUUCUCCUUCCCGAUGCACAUAAACAUACUGCAUCAGCUAUUGGGAAAAGAAAUCAGCUUUCUUCUGUGAGAUCCAUCUGCAGGGAGGCAGGGGGCGGGUGCCCUCAGAUCUGUCUCCCUGAUUCAGGGUUUGGGAUGAAAUUUAAGAGGUUAGGGAGGACAGGCUGCCAUGCAGAAACACUGGCGGGACAGGUUUUGAUUGGUGGGCUUCAAGCAUUUAUGGUCAGGUUCUAAACAUUUAUGAUGAGCUUCUAAACUGUUAUGAUG
rnacentral:lncRNA from 1 species